rnacentral:snoRNA from 1 species
UUUCACCCAACUAAGGUGAAAUUUCACUUUCAGUUGUAACACUAACUUAAAAAACAAAACACNCCAUGGAGAGCUGGUGUGCAAUGGUGGCCAACAGCAGCCUCCUUGGGCACGUACACAGCCUGUUACCCUAAGGGACCUUCANGACAAUU